UCGAUUCGCUUUGAGGCUCGCAGCCGCCGCCGCCGAAAACAGUCAUCCGCCGCCACUUGCCUCCUCUCUAAAAUUGAUUAUUCCUCUACAGCUCUGAUCUUUACGAAACCGUCCCAGCCAAUCCAUCCGUCUAAUGGAUCUGAAGGAGAUAUAUAGGUAAUAACAAUAUAAUACAGCACGAAAUCUCGGCUCAAUUCCGUGCAAGGAUUUGAGAUGUCACUUCCUGAAGAUGAACGAGGUGCCAAGAAAAGUAGAGAGAGUGGUUCGCAUGUAUAGAACACGUGCAGGUCUAGCAGCAGCCACUCGGGCAGCUGCUGCGACGGAUAAGUUUGCUUGAGCCUUGAGUCCUAAAGACGUCCCCAGCGCCGGGGUGGGCCAACAGGCUUGGGGAGGUUCCUCACAAAACGGCGUCGGUGGUUCCUGAAAAUAUGGAAAAACAAAUUCUCAAGAUCCUCCAAGGGCAAUGGCUGUAUGUGCGUAUGAACAAUAAUCAACUUACGCCAUGGG